GAAAUUACACCUAAUCAUAUUUUUGAAGAUCCAACUUGAAAAUUCAAAUCUAAAAUUUAUUUAUUCAAAAAAUCGAAAAUAAUUAAAUUUUUAAUAUUAAUAAAUGAUAUUAUAAAAUUAUAUUAAUCUACAUAUCCACCCUAACUCACGCUAAUUCACCCAAUUUUAUUUUAAACCCUAAUUAUUUCCUCUCUAUAUUCUCUCUCUCUCUAAGAAUGCAUUGAAAAACCCCACGAAGGACGAGAAAAUGAUCGUUGGAGACGUUGACGAGCCACAAUAAUAGGGACGUCGUCACUUCAGCAAUGGCUCUGCGCACUUUAUAGUUGUCGCUGCAACGAUAAUGUUUUCCUUGCGACUUUGCGGUGACUGUGGAGAGAAUAUUGUGCACGGUAGGGAAAGUAUUGUGCACUCUGCAACGAUUUUUUGAUUGUGUUUUUAGGGUAGCUUUUCCUCCUUAGAUCUAUAGUUUACACGAAGUUUUAGUUUAAUAUGUUCUUGGUGGUGGUUGAGAGAUGAUGGUGAUUUGGGUGGUGUUGGUGUUGAUAGUAUAGUGGAGGUGGCGUGAUGGUGAUCGCGAUGGUGUGGUGGUGGUGGUCGUAGCGGUGAACGACAAUCUUGGAUCAGAUUUUUGUUGUGGUGGUAUUGGUCGACAAUAACAAUGAAGUGUUGGUGGUGGCAGCAAUGGUAUAGUGGUUUUGUGGUUAGGAUGGUGUGGUGGUAUUUGUGAUCAAUUAUUUGAUUGAUUGUAAUCAAUAAAUUGAUUAAUUUGUAACUAAUAUAUAAUAGAUGACCGAUAACUUGCGAUCAACAAAUAAUAUGUGACCUAAAAAAUUUUAAUCAUGACUUAUAAAUUUGUUAUUUAUGACCUAUAAAUAAAUUGUGACCUUUAAAUUUUUUAAUCAUGACCGAUGUAUAAAUUGGGACCUAUAAAUUUUUUUACUGGUGACCAAAAAUGAUUUGUGGCCUAUAAUAUUUUUUAAUCAUGAUCGAGAAAUAAUUUAUGAUCAAUCAAUUUGAUAAUUUAUGACUAAACAGUAUACAACUGUGACCUUAAUACUUAAUUAAUAAAAUAUAUAGUUAAUUAAUUAUUCAUUAGAUAAAACUUAAUUAUUAUCUAAUUUUUUAAAUUUUAAAACUUGUUUCUUGAUUUUAAAAUGGUCAAUACUUAACCUUUUAAAUAUGAAUUUUUUCUGCAGAAAGUGCAAGAUUUGACAUGGCGCGGUUGGUCUUUGGGCCCAACUACUGAGCUUAUAAAAUUGUCUAAAUUUUGAUUGUUUCUUAGCUCGUCUUACUUGGGGUGGUUGCACCACAGUUUUUAUUUGUU
rnacentral:lncRNA from 1 species